rnacentral:rRNA from 1 species
UAAAUGGGAGGUACAUUUCUUCUAAAGCUAAAUAUUGGCCAGAGACCGAUAGCGAACAAGUAGAGUGAUCGAAAGAUGAAAAGCACUUUGGAAAGAGAGUCAAACAGCACGUGAAAUUGUUGAAAGGGAAGCGCUUGCAGCCAGACUUGCUUACAGUUGCUCAUCCGGGUUUUUACCCGGUGCACUCUUCUGUAGGCAGGCCAGCAUCAGUUUGGGCGGUAGGAUAAAGGUCUCUGUCACGUACCUCCUUUCGGGGAGGCCUUAUAGGGGAGACGACAUACUACCAGCCUGGACUGAGGUCCGCGCAUCUGCUAGGAUGUCUGGC